UGCUCACCACCCCUCACCAACCAGGUGUGAGGGUAAAUCUGGCCCCCGUUCCUCCAUCUUGGCUGGAAGUGGAAGUCCCGGUGGAUAUUUUUGAGCCCCUGAUGUAUGCCAGGCACUGCUGUAAGCACUGAGUAUUCAAAGAUGAACAAAAUGAUGUGGCCCCAGUCUCCUAAAAUUUACUAUCAAGAGAAGAAGACAACAGGAAUGAAUGAGAGUUCCUGCUGCUCAACAUUCUUGCCAGCAUUUGGUAUCGUCAGUGUUCCAGAUUUGGGACCAUUCUAAUAGGAUCAUGCUUCUGUGGUUCAGUUGUACCUCCCUCCACGAUGACAUCAUACAACUCCAGGAAAACUAAUCUUAGGUAGGUGUGGUCUGACUGCUUUCAAGGAAAUUGCUAUUUUUCCUGCCAGUGCUUGCUUCAAUAAUGGGCAUUUGAUACAACUUGGUCCAGUGAGAGGAAAAGGGAAACCUGUUGAAAGAUCCAGACAAAGUUUUAUCUUUCCAAAAAAAAAAGGAAAAGAUAGCCUCCUUCCUUCCUUGGGGGGCUAUGGACUCAGAAUGUUUACCUGGAAUUGCUGCUCCAGCCAUCUGACACCUGAGACCUGAGGAUGGAGCCAACAGUAAAGAGAACAGAGAGGAGGCUGAAAGAAGCUGGGUUUUUCAUGACACCACUGAGUGCCCGGAUCAACCUGCUCUAAGAACUGCCCUCUUUGUGUAUUUCCUAUUAUGUGGGAUAAUGAACUCUUCUACUGUUUGAGUUAGAGUUUCCACCUCUUGCAGCCCAAGCAUCCUAACCAAUAUACACCCACUGACUCAAAAUCUCCAGUGAUAAAUCUGCCUCAGGUGAUUCUGACUUAUCCUCAAGUGUGGAAACUGCUGGAAAGCUGGAGAGGACAUUAAAUUGGUCAUCACAGGUCCAGUUGCUGGCACUGGCUCUGCCAUUAAAUUGCUGAGCCAUCUGGGGCAAGUAAUUUUCUCUCUCUGAGCCUCAGCAUCCUCAGGAACCAAAAGGCUACACCAUAGGGCUUCUGCCUCUCUUUGUGGUCUCGUGUUUUGCUGCAAUGUAGUUCUAGGCAAGUAUGGUGGGUACCGUGGGCAAGACAGAACACAAACAAAAGAAAACAUUCUACUAAAUGCUUUGACAUCGGUACUGUUGAGCAGGAAGUUUUGGUCUUUGAAACAAAAGCUGGCUGCAGACUUUUCUGCUUUUUAGAGGAAUGGCAGAAUUAAUCUCAGGUUGUCAAAGGUUCUAUGGUUCAGAAAAAUGCCUUGAGAGACAUUUUGAUUCCAAUAUGGGGCACACCCUCCACCCACCCCGCAAAGCCUGGCUGAGUGGUG
rnacentral:lncRNA from 10 species